CAUUCCCAUGUAAACACACACCUACACACAUGCACACCCCCGCAGCCGCUUUUUUUCGGUGUUUGUCCGUUUUCUUUAUUUUAGGGAAAUUUGCAUACCACCGACCACCAACAACCGAACUUUGACAAUGCAAUUUGAAAAGCCUGACAUUCGCCCGAUCCCUGCCCUGCCACAUGUGGCUAAACAUUAGCGGUCACUUGUUGUGGGAGUUUCCCCUUCUUUGGACUGGUGCUGGCUUUGCGGCUUUUUUCGUCCUCCAGCUACCUGGAUACGAUACGUUCUCCGUGCUCACCUCGAUUUAUUAUAUGCUGUUUUGCUGGAGCUAUGCUCCGGAAAAACUUUCUUAAUGAGCCUCAUACGGAUUUUGUGGCUUCUCUGGCUUGAAUCGAUGCAAAGUUGGGCCCCGUCCCGAACAAUAGGCCGAGGACUGUCCUGCGAUUGGCAGAGGCAAAGGAGUCCCAGCAAGACUUGUAGAUGCAUAUCAAGCCGGCUUCCGGUCCGCACUCGGCACAAUUCCAGCACUCGGAGCCCAUUGUUUGCACUCAAAUUAUUUACACAUUAUCUGCGGGCAGAGGAGCCAGCCGGAGGACAAGAACGGGAGCACAGUGCCCCCAAGGAGGACAGACAACACACACACAGGGUGAGACAGCCAGUUGUUAUUUUAAUAGUUUAAGUAACCAUAAUAUGUUGAGGACUUUUUAAUAAACUUGAAACACGAGCAAGCGUGAGCCACAAGGACACCAGAGACCGGCCCCCAGAGACAGAGCGAGGGGCGAGGACAGGACAGGACAGGACAUGGGAAGGAUGCGAAUGUAGAUGUGAACGUGGAACAACUGCAGGCGGGGCCAAGAUUUAUGCAAACCAAAAUGUUGCCAAAAAUUACAAUUUAAUGGAGUCGACUCUGAGUGGAGAGUGUGCGUGGCGUGGCAUGGCGUGGCGUGGCCCAUAAUGAGCAGCGAGAAACUUGCAACAAAAGCCAAAGUCGACAAGACAAAGGCCACAACAACAACGACAAAAAUAGCAAGAAGGAGUCGCAGGACCAAGAGCAACUAGAAAUGUAAGCAAAAGUAACUUCUCUAAUUUUGCAGGAAAUAUGAAGCCAUUAAAGUGCAGCAGACAAGGCGAAACAUGGCAACAUCUUGACUACUGCGGCACACACACAUACCCAGACAGAGCAGAGGCUGAGGCUGAGGCUGAGGUAGAGGCUGAGGCGGAGGCGAAGGCUGAGGCUAAGGAAGGAGCAGCCACUACCGGGCCAUGUGGCGACUACUGUCCUGUGAAAGUUGUCCUCGAGAGUGUGAAAAUAAAUUGUGAAAAAGUCGCAGGAGAAGUGAAAAUGGCAACUGGUUUGCAUGUGGCCCCACGACAAACUGGAACUUCAGUGGAACUCCGCUCCAUGGUUCGGCCAGCGGUAAGCGGUAAACGGUAAACGGAGGAAAGAAAAAGCCGUAUAUACAUAUCUUUAAUUGCCAACUUGGGCAGUGACAGGCGGCGAGAAAAAUGAGCCCUGGUGAGGUCCAGCGAGGGAUUCUGGGCGGCCAGCUGGUGUCACAUGUCCGGCGCUAGUUGCACUUAAUCACUGCCCCGGCCAGCUGGCUGUCGUGUCGACCCGACGGAACCGGAGCAACCGGAGGUGCCUUUCCCCUCUGGGCGUCACCUGAGUGAAGUCCCGGCACUAAGCCAUCCAGGAGAGCGCUUUAAUUGGACAGAUUGAGAGCGGGAACAGAAGCUCCGAGCAAUCCGCGAUGCUCCCCAUCCCGCACAGAUAUAAAUAUGCAUCGAGUGUACGCCAUAGAGUCGGACUACCAGAUGGAUCGACCGCAAUGUCGAGCGGCACCCGGAAUUAAGUUAAUUUUAAUUUACGCUGAUUAAUUGCAUUGUCAGGCCAGAUGAAAUGUCCCGCCCUGGUCGGGCGCUGCUGUGGGUGCCCAACCGGAGGACCAGUGGCAACCGCAUGCCAAGUGUUAAAUGUCAGAGCAACGCUUUUAAUACAAUUUGGUGGCAGAUGCGAGGCAGGGCGCUCGCGCCAGUACAGUGCGUAUCGUGGAUAUAAUUGAGGGGAAUCGAUAUAAUUAGGGUUUUUCGAAUAAUAUCCAAGAGUGUCUCGUUUCUGCCACGGGUGCUCUGCGCUCUGCGCUCCGUGCUCCGUGCUGCGUGCUCUCUGCUCGAGUUUCGGCAUCAUCUAAUCGACAAUCGGCCACAAAUUGCUGUUUAAGCAACGCACAUUGAAAUUCCGUUUGCAUAUCGGCCAUAAUGUCGUACAUUAGGUUGCUUUUUUCCUCUCCUCGGAUCGGGGGGCCACUAUCUAGUGCGGCGGUGCACACUCAAUUUAAUGGUCUUGGGUGUUCCAAAUUCGGGAAUUAAAUAGAACAUUAAGAGCAAAAACGCUCCACAGAGAGAUCCCUCAAUUUGCAUAAACGGCCAGAGGCGGCACCUGAUAAACAGGUGUCGAACAGGAUAUAAAAUUCUAUUGGCUCUUUUUUUUAUUUUUAUUUUUAUUUGUUUCGUCUUCCUUAUGUGUAGGUUUGCCCUUGCCGAAGGUACAUUACAUCGCCCACAGAAGAAGUUCUUUGGGUGACCAAAAAUCCACCGAUUUCACUUCGGGCAAAUAUCUAUUUUGUUCAUAUUCGGAUAAAACAUUCACAAAUAUAAAUAAACGUAUAUUCAAUGUUCUUUUAUUUACAGAUAUUUUAUAGAUGGCUCUGUGGGUCCACUAAAACUACCAUCUACCUAAACUUGAGCAUAAAUCAAGCGCAUUUUACACAGCUAAGUAGAUUCAAUUACGAUUUAUUGGCAAAUUUAUUCAAAUCUCAUUUCCAGUUAGCCCCAACCAAUCGGGCCAUGUACUGUCUGGGAAGAGCAUCCAACAUCCGGACUGUACCUGUAGCUGUACUGUAUCUCCUUCCCUUGUUUAUGUUUUGCUCCGGAGCAAUCCAACUAUUGCGUAGAACUAGCCCAGAACUGGGCCAUUGUCAUGCGGAGGAGCACACGGCUUCGUUGGGUUUUUUUGUUCGAAAACAUUGCGAGGCAUUUGCAUAAAAAGUUGAUAAUUA